rfam:Bacillus sp. FJAT-27997 Scaffold1, whole genome shotgun sequence.
AGGUGAUGCCUCCUUCCCGUUAUCGAUGGAGGUACUCGGUCAUGCUGUGGGAUGAAUAUCCUUAGACGCAUUAUGUCGUCAAUAGUGUGAUGUGAGGGUGGGUUAGAUGCCUG